GGAGCUGGGAGUUAGAGAUAGAAAAAAAGAGUACUCAAUCUUUCAUCGAUUGAGUUUCUACAGGUUGGACCUUAACCAAUGCCCAUUCAUAACAAGGGGAAGAUGAAGGCGAUGGAGAGGGCCAGGAGGAAGAUGGAGGAGACGAUGACAUCAACGGAACGCUGGGGCCCACGUCUCUGUGAUGAACGGGAAAAAAGGGUCCUCUCUGCCACACACAUCAUGAAGAAGAAGAGUCCGGUGAGGCAAAGCCUCUCCACGGUGGUGAUGAAGAAGAAGGCGUAGAUCUGGGUGUUGGGCGGCCCCACCACCAUGACAGCCAGCUCUACCAGGGACAGGGAGCUCAGGCGCUUCAUGUCCAGCUGUUGUGCCAGGCGGAAGACAAAAGGAAGCAGUGCCAGUGUGGCAGUGAACAACCCCCCCAGGGCUAGAUGAUGACACUGACCCGGUCUCUGGAUGGGUGGCACGCCUGCAGCCACGAUAGAUGGCCCUGUGGGGAGAGAAAGCCGCCCUUUUCUAGUUUUUCCAGUUUUGACUACUCUGCCUGCCCUGAACCCGCCUGCUGUUCUGUACCAGUCUGACUCUGCCCUGGAUUACCAACCUCUGCCUGCCCUUGACCUGUCGUCUGCCUGCCCCCUGUUUUGUUAAUAAACAUCUGCAAGGCUAUUAAACAAGCUAAGCGUCAGUACAGAGACAAAGUGGAAUCUCAAUUCAAUGGCUCAGACACAAGAGGCAUGUGGCAGGGUCUACAGUCAAUCACGGACUACAAGAAGAAACCCAGCCCAGUCACGGACCAGGAUGUCUUGCUCCCAGGCAGACUAAAUAACUUUUUUGCCCGCUUUGAGGACAAUACAGUGCCACUGACACGGCCUGCAACGAAAACAUGCGGUCUCUCCUUCACUGCAGCCGAGGUGAGUAAGACAUUUAAACGUGUUAACCCUCGCAAGGCUGCAGGCCCAGACGGCAUCCCCAGCCGCGCCCUCAGAGCAUGCGCAGACCAGCUGGCC